rnacentral:rRNA from 1 species
GUAGGUGGCAAGCGUUGUCCGGAAUUAUUGGGCGUAAAGCGCGCGCAGGCGGUCCUUUAAGUCUGAUGUGAAAGCCCACGGCUCAACCGUGGAGGGUCAUUGGAAACUGGGGGACUUGAGUACAGAAGAGGAAAGCGGAAUUCCAAGUGUAGCGGUGAAAUGCGUAGAGAUUUGGAGGAACACCAGUGGCGAAGGCGGCUUUCUGGUCUGUAACUGACGCUGAGGCGCGAAAGCGUGGGGAGCGAACAGGAUUAGAUACCCUGGUAGUACACGCCGUAAACGAUGAGUGCUAAGUGUUAGGGGGUUUCCCGCCCCCUUAGUGCUGCAGCUAACGCAUUAAGCACUCCGCCUGGGGAGUACGGCCGCAAGGCUG